UAAGACGUAGGGAGCGAGCGUUGUCCGGAUUCAUUGGGCGUAAAGCGCGCGUAGGCGGUUUGGCAAGUCGGAUGUGAAAUCCCGAGGCUCAACCUCGGGACUGCAUCCGAUACUGCCCGACUAGAGGUAGGUAGGGGAGAUCGGAAUUCCUGGUGUAGCGGUGAAAUGCGCAGAUAUCAGGAGGAACACCGGUGGCGAAGGCGGAUCUCUGGGCCUUACCUGACGCUGAGGCGCGAAAGCUAGGGGAGCGAACAGGAUUAGAUACCCUGGUAGUCCUAGCCGUAAACGUUGGGUGCUAGGUGUGGGCGGAUAUCGACCCCGUCCGUGCCGAAGCUAACGCAUUAAGCACCCCGCCUGGGGAGUACGGCCGCAAGGCUA
rnacentral:rRNA from 1 species